CUUAUCAAGAGUGGUGGAGGGAACGGCCCUGUGAAGCCCGGCAACCUGCGUUUGCAAGGUGCUAAAUCCGGCGGCGAACGAAAGAUGAG
rnacentral:ncRNA from 1 species